rnacentral:rRNA from 1 species
CAGCCGCCACGGUAAAACGAAGGGUGCAAGCGUUACUCGGAAUUACUGGGCGUAAAGCGUGCGUAGGUGGUGGUUUAAGUCCGUUGUGAAAGCCCUGGGCUCAACCUGGGAAUUGCAGUGGAUACUGGGUCACUAGAGUGUGGUAGAGGAUAGUGGAAUUUCCGGUGUAGCAGUGAAAUGCGUAGAGAUCGGAAGGAACAUCUGUGGCGAAGGCGACUAUCUGGGCCAACACUGACACUGAGGCACGAAAGCGUGGGGAGCAAACAGGAUUAGAUACCCCAGUAGUCCCUGUCUCUUAUAC